rnacentral:rRNA from 1 species
GAUGAACGCUGGCGGCGUGCCUAAUACAUGCAAGUCGAGCGAAUGGAUUAAGAGCUUGCUCUUAUGAAGUUAGCGGCGGACGGGUGAGUAACACGUGGGUAACCUGCCCAUAAGACUGGGAUAACUCCGGGAAACCGGGGCUAAUACCGGAUAACAUUUUGAACCGCAUGGUUCGAAAUUGAAAGGCGGCUUCGGCUGUCACUUAUGGAUGGACCCGCGUCGCAUUAGCUAGUUGGUGAGGUAACGGCUCACCAAGGCAACGAUGCGUAGCCGACCUAGGAGGGUGAUGGGCCACACUGGGACUGAGACACGGCCCAGACUCCUACGGGAGGCAGCAGUAGGGAAUCUUCCGCGAUGGACGAAAGUCUGACGGAGCAACGCCGCGUGAGUGAUGAAGGCUUUCGGGUCGUAAAACUCUGUUGUUAGGGAAGAACAAGUGCUAGUUGAAUAAGCUGGCACCUUGACGGUACCUAACCAGAAAGCCACGGCUAACUACGUGCCAGCCGCCGCCGUAA